AGUGCCGUAGUCGAGCUGGUUAAGACGCCUGCCUGUCACGUAGGAGAUCGUGGGUUCAAGUCCCAUCGGCACUGCCA
rnacentral:tRNA from 2 species